rnacentral:rRNA from 1 species
CGCGUGAGGAACCUGCCUCAAAGAGGGGGACAACAGUUGGAAACGACUGCUAAUACCGCAUAAGCCCACGGCUCGGCAUCGAGCAGAGGGAAAAGGAGCAAUCCGCUUUGAGAUGGCCUCGCGUCCGAUUAGCUAGUUGGUGAGGUAACGGCCCACCAAGGCGACGAUCGGUAGCCGGACUGAGAGGUUGAACGGCCACAUUGGGACUGAGACACGGCCCAGACUCCUACGGGAGGCAGCAGUGGGGAAUAUUGCACAAUGGGGGAAACCCUGAUGCAGCGACGCCGCGUGGAGGAAGAAGGUCUUCGGAUUGUAAACUCCUGUUGUUGAGGAAGAUAAUGACGGUACUCAACAAGGAAGUGACGGCUAACUACGUGCCAGCAGCCGCGGUAAAACGUAGGUCACAAGCGUUGUCCGGAAUUACUGGGUGUAAAGGGAGCGCAGGCGGGAGAACAAGUUGGAAGUGAAAUCCAUGGGCUCAACCCAUGAACUGCUUUCAAAACUGUUUUUCUUGAGUAGUGCAGAGGUAGG